GUGUCAGCAGCCGCGGUAAAACGUAGGAGACAAACGUUAUCCGGAGUUACUGGGCGUAAAGGGCGUGUAGGUGGUAGUGUAAGUCUGGCGUGAAAUUUUUCGGCUUAACCGGGAAAGGUCGUCGGAUACUGCACAACUAGAGGACGGUAGAGGCGUGUGGAAUUCCGGGUGUAGUGGUGAAAUGCGUAGAGAUCCGGAGGAACACCAGUGGCGAAGGCGACACGCUGGGCCGUACCUGACACUGAUGCGCGACAGCAUGGGGAGCAAACAGGAUUAGAUACCCGGGUAGUCC
rnacentral:rRNA from 1 species